GGUUCACUGAAGAAUGAUACCCUGGACUCAAGUAGUAUGUAAACACAAAGAGUGUUUUGUUCUGCAAAAGUCCAGCAUGUUGAGGGCUCCUAUUACUAGGAUAGAGAGGUAACCAGGGGACCUUGCUCACAGGCCAGAUUUAAAGCAUAUUAGGGGAAUUCCAAGGCCAGGUGGCAGGGCAGCUUCUGAGGUCUGGACUUGCCUGAACUUGCCUGGACUUGCCCAGUUCUUGGAAACAGAGAUUUGGACCUCAUCUCCUGAACUGCCGAUUUAAAGCCUGUCAUGGAGUCAGCCUAGCCUUCUCAGGUUUAACUUUGUAUUUCAUUUCUGCAGAGCUCUACCUGACCAAACUAUCACUUAUGGAAAUAUUCACUCUGAUGAAAUGGAAAUCUUUAACAUGCAGUAAAUCAGGGACCUACUGCAUGGCAAAAAAGUUGCAGCCAUGGACUUUGAUGUAAAUUCUACUGCUCAUAACACCCACAAGUCAGAAGCUCUCACUUAUGGGAGACAGGAUUAUCUCAGCACCAAAUUCCACGAGUGGUAUUUACUUUGACUAAAGUCAUUUAUAUGCAUCUGUGGUCCACUGAAGAACUACAAGUUCUUGAAAUUAAAACGGUAGAAAC